rnacentral:rRNA from 1 species
ACGAACGCUGGCGGCGUGCUUAACACAUGCAAGUCGAACGGAAAGGCCCCUUCGGGGGUACUCGAGUGGCGACCGGGUGAGUAACACGUGAGUAACCUGCCCUUGACUUCGGGAUAACUUCAGGAAACUGGGGCUAAUACCGGAUAGGAAUCCUUGCUGCAUGGUGGGGGUUGGAAAGCUUCGGCGGUUUUGGAUGGACUCGCGGCUUAUCAGCUUGUUGGUGGGGUAGUGGCUUACCAAGGCCGUGACGGGUAGCCGGCCUGAGAGGGCGACCGGCCACAUUGGGACUGAGAUACGGCCCAGACUCCGACGGGAGGCAGCAGUGGGGAAUAUUGCACAAUGGGCGGAAGCCUGAUGCAGCAACGCCGCGGGCGGGAGGACGGCCUUCGGGUUGUAAACCGCUUUCAGCAGGGGCGAAGCUUGUGGUGACGGUACCUGCAGAAGAAGCACCGGCUAACUACGUG